ACAGAGGUCUCAAGCGUUGUUCGGAAUCACUGGGCGUAAAGGGUGCGUAGGUGGCGUGGAAAGUCAGAUGUGAAAUCCGGAGGCUCAACCUCCGAAUUGCAUCCGAUACUCCCAUGCUAGAGAACUGGAGGGGAGUCUGGAAUUCUCGGUGUAGCAGUGAAAUGCGUAGAUAUCGAGAGGAACACUAGUGGCGAAGGCGAGACUCUGGACAGUUUCUGACACUGAUGCACGAAGGUCAGGGGAGCAAACGGGAUUAGAUACCCCGGUAGUCCUGACAGUAAACGGUGCACGUUUGGUGUGGGAGGAUUCGACCCCUUCUGUGCCGGAGCUAACGCGUUAAACGUGCCGCCUGGGAAGUACGGUCGCAAGAUUA
rnacentral:rRNA from 1 species